UACGUAGGUGGCAAGCGUUGUCCGGAUUUACUGGGCGUAAAGCGCGCGCAGGCGGCUGGUCAAGUCCGAUGUGAAAGCUCCCGGCUUAACUGGGAAACGGCAUCGGAAACUGAUCGGCUUGAAGGUGGGAGAGGGUAGUGGAAUUCCCGGUGUAGUGGUGAAAUGCGUAGAUAUCGGGAGGAACACCAGUGGCGAAGGCGACUACCUGGCCCACUCUUGACGCUGAGGCGCGAAAGCUAGGGGAGCGAACGGG
rnacentral:rRNA from 1 species